CUCCAGGAGACUGGCUGGUGGACCCUGCUGGGUUUUGCUCCCUUGCUAAGACUAAGUAUUUGUCCAGGUUCCAAGGAGUGAACAAGUCCCCAAGACACUAGAGGGUGUGUUGCCACACACACCUGUGCACCCACGAGCAGGAGGCCAUUCAGCAAGCAGGAAGGAGAGGAAAACACCAAUUUUAAAGAGUUUUGCCAUGUGGUUGGAAAAAUGGCACCAGGAUUCCAGGGUCAGAGAGCUUCUUGCCCAGUGCUGGAGUCAAGCCAGCGUGUCCAGGAGCUACGGCACAUGGGGACAAAGCCCGGAUGUAACGGCAGCUGACACGCAGUACGUGCUGUAGUGAACCAGCCAACAUAGACUUCCAGGCUUUGAGCCUCGAUGCUCUCAGCAGAACAGUGGCAUCCGGCUUACUCCAGAGCAGCAGGGAACACGGCCACUCGACUCCUCUAACUGACUUGGAAGUGAGAGCAAGCAACAUGUUUCACCCAGAAGGGAACCGACUUCAAGGCUUGAUUUCACUGGAACUGCACAAGACUGGAAAUUCUAGUUUUCAUUCCUAGCCACACACAAAAUAGGAUGAAGUGCAGUUAAUAACAGGAGUCCGACAAUUUCAUUCUGGGGGAAAAAAACAGAACUCCGGGGAAAAAGAUCACUGAUACUCAACUCAAGUGUACACACACACUUCUCUCUUUUUUUCUUUUGAG